CCCCUAGACGUUCUGGGCUGCACGCGCGCUACAAUAAUACGCACAGCGAGUAUCACCGAGCUCGAAAGGGCAAGGUAAACAAUAGAAAAGGUACUGUAAUGGUUAUAGAUCCUUGUAAUUAUUGAUCUUCAACGAGGAAUUCCUAGUAAGUAUGUGUCAUCAUCACGCACUGAUUACGUCCCUGCCCUUUGUACACAUCGCCCGUCGCUCCUACCGAUUGGGUGAGCCGAUGAAACUCUCGGAUGUAGGCUAUUCAUAGCCCGCAGAAGAGAUUUGAAUCGUAGCGCUUAGAGGAAGGAGAAGUCGUAACA
rnacentral:rRNA from 1 species